AUACUUACCUAGGAUGGGUCAAUGGGUGAUCAUGAAGGCUCAUGGCUAGAAAGGUGACCUCCAUCGCACUUAGGAGGGUUGCCUUUCUAAGGUCUACCCAAGUGGUGUAGCCUACAUCAUAAUUUGUUAAUGAGUGGGCUUAUGUUCGCGCGGUAUAAAA